UGUGCCUUGUCCCUUUUCUAUAUUUCUUGAAUUCCACUUCCAAAGUCUCUCUGUCAUUUAUAGCUACCAGGCUUAAAGGCCCCUUGAUUAAUCGAGUCCCAUCUCACUCCACAGGCUGUUCCUGAAGAAAUCGCCCCCUGCUUAAGCUCUGUUUGCCCAUUUCCAAAAUGGACAUGCUCACCACAUGAAAACUGAACAAUCAGAAGAAGGACGAAUUCAAGGGUAUCUCUGGUUAUAACUGGUAUAAAGUGAAGUGCACAGAACCAGGAAAACAAUAUGCCCAAUGAUUGCAACAAUGUAAAAGGAGAGAGCAAUGACUACAAAACAAUCAAAACUGUAUUUUACAAAACUAUAAGAAACAAUUUUGGCCCUAAAGAAAAGAUAAAAAUCCACUUCUUGCUCCUUAGAAGAUGAAGAGAAUGCUGACUGGGGAAUAAGCCAUAGGAAUCUGGGAACUGGAAUCCAGGAUUGCUUUUGCAGCCAGUGCAAAUUCAAAAAAGCUUCUUUCUCCUGACCAUGUGGUUAGCCAGCUGAAAUCAGUUACAUGUUCCACAUGUUCCAUAGAUUCUCCAAGGCAUUUCCCUUAUACAUCAUCAUGAUUUUCUCAAAGGAACCUAUCUAGCAUCCUCCACAUGGAGAGGCUGCAUUAGCUGAGAAAGCUAAUGAGGUCUGCACAGAUUCUCCCAUUGCACUUAUAAGAAAUAUUAUAUUGGCUGAAGAGCAAAAGCAUUGUGCCAGAAAAUUUCAGGGUAUAAAGAGCAACUUAUUAUUGAUUAAGUAAUUGUUGAAUAAGAUAUUCAAAAACACUAUCCCAUUUACACUGCCUUUAGUAUCACAAAGACUUUGACUCCACCUUGAACUCAUGAUUUUCUCCUGUAUAAAAAUAUAUGCCAUAGACUCAAAAAUAGAGAGAAUGCUAUAGUCUUUGAUGCCCAUGAGGAAAACUAUUCUCUACUUAAAAUAUCCUAAUCAACACUAUAAUAUCAAGAGCAAUUGGUAUGAAAUGUGGCAUUUUUCAGGAAGAUAGAUUUAGCCUAUUAUGGUGUCCCUAACCUUUAACUCUAUUAUCAUCUCCCCUAAAUAGACUAAAGUAUGAUGUCUAAGUUACAAAAGAGUUGAACCAAAACAUCCUAUUAAUCACUUAAUAUACUUGGAUGGCAUCAAGGCACGUGAUUCCAUUGAAAAAUGCUUCAAAUAAUUCCUUCAUAUUGCGGAAUCUUUCUUCAAUGAUACAAAAAUGUCAUUUGGAAUAAUACGUAUAAAAUUCUUAACCUAUGCCAGGGAAGGCUUUAAGUUGGAAACUGGAGGCCCCAAGAAAUUCAUGAGUGAAGGUGAUACCUGUAAAUAGGUUUCUUCCAGGCAUGAUAUAUUGAAAAUAGAAAGUUGUAGAUUAAUAUAUUAAAACUUGUUGGCACCCUGAAAUCAAAGCUAAUGGGUAACAAUGAAUAACUAUCCAUUAAUCAUUUAUCGUGCACUUUUGGAACUAUAAAAUGAAUGAUAACAGAUUUGGAAACUAUUUUUUAAAAACUCAUUUAAAAUUUACUAAAUAUAAGAUCUAUCACCCAUAGGUAUUUACAGAAGAUGAAUACUUUCUCAUCAAAAAAAAAAAAUAGAAGAC